rnacentral:lncRNA from 1 species
UUUCGUCCAUUUUUGGCGACUUUUUUCAUUUUUCAUAAGUGGGCAAAAAACAGCAAAAAAGUAAGGCUAUACCCUUUACUUUUCGUCCAUUUUUGGCGACUUUUUUCAUUUUUCAUAAGUGGGCAAAAAACAGCAAAAAAGUACCCUUUACUUUUCGUCCAUUUUUGGCGACUUUUUUCAUUUUUCAUAAGUGGGAAAAAAACAGCAAAAAAGUAAGGCUAUAGCCUUCGUCCAUUUUUAGCGACUUUUUUCAUUUUUCAUAAGUGGGUAAAAAACAGCAAAAAAGAAAGGCUAUAGCCUUAACUUUUCGUCCAUUUUUGGCGACUUUUUCAUUUUUCAUAAGUGGGCAAAAAACAGCAAAAAAGUAAGGCUAUACCCUUAACUUUUCGUCCAUUUUUGGCGACUUUUUUCAUUUUUCAUAAGUGGGCAUAAAACAGCAAAAAACUAAGGCUAUACCCUUUACUUUUCGACCAUUUUUGGCGACUUUUUUCAUUUUUCAUAAGUGGGCAUAAAACAGCAAAAAAGUAAGGCUAUAGCCUUCGUCCAUUUUAGCGACUUUUUCAUUUUUCAUAAGUGGGCAAAAAACAGCAAGAAAGUAAGGCUAUACCCUUAGCUUUUCGUCCAUUUUUGGCGACUUUUUUCAUUUUUCAUAAGUGGGCAAAAAACAGCAAGAAAGUAAGGCUAUACCCUUUACUUU